UACAGAGGUCCCAAGCGUUGUUCGGAUUCACUGGGCGUAAAGGGUGCGUAGGUGGCGGGGUAAGUUUGAUGUGAAAUCUCCGAGCUUAACUCGGAAAAUGCAUUGAAUACUAUCCCGCUUGAGGGUCGGAGGGGAGACUGGAAUUCUCGGUGUAGCAGUGAAAUGCGUAGAUAUCGAGAGGAACACCAGUGGCGAAGGCGAGUCUCUGGACGACUCCUGACACUGAGGCACGAAAGCUAGGGGAGCAAACAGG
rnacentral:rRNA from 1 species